CACUCCCCAGUGGGAUAUGUAGAUACUAGAUAGUGCGUGCUCCUUUAUUCAUGCUAUCAUGGCAGUCCGUAUGGUGGCAGUAAUGUAGACGCAAGACGACAAUACGACAUCAACGGAUAAUUUGUGAUUCACUUCAAUAAGGAGAUCGGAGAUUUCGAUAUGGCUGACGCAAAUAGUGAAGAAGUUAAUCCUGAGUCAGUAGUGAAUGCAUGGAAAAUAAAGUUACCUGAAUUCAAACAAGAGCACAAUCCUCAUGGUCUUUUAGAGGAAAGUUCAUUUGCAACACUUUUCCCAAAAUAUAGAGAAGUUUACCUCAGAGAAUGUUGGCCUCUUGUUCAGAAAUCCCUAGGUGAACAUAAUAUCAAAGCUGAAUUAGAUGUUAUUGAAGGUAGUAUGACUGUUAAAACCAGCAGAAAAACAUGGGAUCCCUACAUCAUCUUGAAGGCCCGUGACAUGGUUAAGUUGCUUGCCCGAAGUGUCCCUUAUGAACAAGCAGUCAAAGUACUGAGUGAUGAUGUUGCAUGUGACAUUAUUAAGAUUGGAACUCAAACCCAGAAUAAAGAUCGCUUUGUGAAAAGAAGACAAAGAUUAAUUGGUCCUAAUGGAUCAACACUUAAAGCUUUGGAAUUAUUAACAAGUUGCUAUAUUCUUGUUCAGGGAAAUACUGUUUCAGCUGUUGGGCCAUAUCGUGGACUGCAACAAGUUCGAAGAGUAGUGGAAGAUACUAUGGAAAAUAUUCAUCCCAUCUACCACAUCAAGGCUCUUAUGAUAAAAAGAGAACUAGCAAGGGAUGAAAAACUGAAGAAUGAAUCUUGGGAGCGUUUCUUGCCCACAAUACCACACAAGAACACCAGCAAGAGAAAGCAACCUGCGAAAAAGCGCGCUAAGAAGGAAUACACACCAUUCCCUCCGGCGCCACCAGAAAGCAAAGUCGACAAAUUACUGGCUACCGGCGAGUAUUUCUUAAAAGAAGAUCAGCGUAAACAUCGCAAAAAGCAUGAAAACCAGGAAAAACAAGAUCAGGCAGAAAAUCGAAGAAAAGAACGACGAGAAAGUGCUUUUAUACCCCCGGAGGAACCAAGCUCGUCUGGAACCAAAUCUGCCACGGCUUCUGACAUCAACGUGGAAGAGCUAAAAAAUAAAAUUCGAAAAAGCCAAACGAAACGUAAACGUGUGUAAAACUUAUCGAGAUUCCCAACUGACUGAAAUAUAAACGGUCUGGCACAAAUUUCAAGCUCCAUCAUUGAAGACGCUGCUCCAUAUGUCUAUGACUAGAACGUUGUUGAUUUUCAGCAGGAUCAUUUGCGAUGGUUGCGUACGACAGAGAGAAGUCUAUGGAUCUCGUUUUGCCAUAAAUGAAAAGAUUGAUUCUCAGCGAGUGAAUAUGAACUCUUGGGUAUCUAGCUGCGGAUUGCAUUCCUGUACGGUAAUCUCUUGAGCAUUUCGUGCGUCAAGACAUAGAUUGGAGAGUCUGUGAAUGACGGUAACACCACGCAGCUGGCCCCUUUCCAGUUUGUCCCAAAGCUGAUCGUUGCUGGAGCUGCAGGGCAAUGUGAUUACUUGGGCUCCAACAUAUGCUGGGGUAGGCGGCGCCAGACACCAAGAGCCAUGGCGUAAUCGACCAGCAAGGUACAGCCAUGCCUGCGGACCCAGACAAUGUAUAAAUUCAGAAGUGCUAAGGAGAGUAGCCUAAUCACGCAUGGUUAUCAGCAAGAAGCGGUAUCGAAAAGUGGAGAGGCGUUAUCUUUCAUCUCUGUCUGUCAGCUUCUGUACCUCAUAAAAACAGGGAAUUUUGCUUGCGGAAUAGAAGGAUGUGAAAUUUCAAGUAAAAGUGGGGCUUCCCAAAGGCGAUAGAACUAUCACAAGUAGAAAAUUUUCAUGGAAUUGUGUUGCACCCAUGUGAUGCAAUGCCAGACUGCUGAUGAAACAUAUUUGUGUUUAUAGAACGACUAACAAAUCGUUUGUAUUCUGUGUGAUCCAAUUCCAGCCAUCGAUUUGAAGUUAAAGUUGAUCAGAAAAUGGCAUCAACUAAAUCAUCUAACAUCAAUAACAAAAACCAACAGAACCUGAUUUUUUAUGCUGCUAUCAUGUGUUUCAAAUCGGACAUGUUUGACAACAAUGUUGGAUGACGAAAAUUUAUUCCUCAACCUUGAAAUCAGACAGCGAGUGUGGACGACUUUUCGAAGGACGGAUUUGGAUUUCAGUUCAAAGACCUUGAGAGGUAUUAUUAUUUAGCUGCACGAUAACACGUCUCGGUCUACACUAAAACGGCUAGAGGGCAAUCAUACUCCUUCACCCGUCGAACAGUGCUCCGCCUUUUAGUUUUACAAGAUAUGUGACCGCACUCUUAAAACUUUAGUGUAGUUGCACGAUGACUUGACUAUUAGACAUUGUGCAUCGCAAUCUUAUGUACAAUUGUCCGGUAUUCGUACUUGUGAAGUGAGGAGGUUACAGUUGCUCCAGUGCGCUUUUUCUAAUCGCAAGAAUUUGUUUGAAAAAAGGAAGGUAACAAAGUCACGAUGGCUUACACUGCUUAGCAAUCUCGUUUCAAGCUGACAUCAACUUCACCGAAGACUCGCUUAAGAUUGUCUCUUGCAGAACGGAUUAAAGUGAUCGAAGCCCGGCAAAUGGGGAAGUCAAUGCGACAGUUUGGCUGUGGCAAAACGCAGAUUCUCAACACUUUGACGCAAAAGGAGCGAUACAUCCACGAAUGGGAGGUUAUGGGUCGCAAUAAUCCUUCGAUUGACGCCCGCAAGCGUUUUCGACGCUCACGUAACGAACAUAUAAACCGAUCUGUUCACGAUUGGUAUCAACAGCAGACAGCCAGCGGUCUCCGAGUUACAGGACCCAUGUUACAAAAACAAGCAAGACAUUAUGCAACUCUGCUAGAAAUAUCAAAUUUCGGAGCCAGCAAUUAGAUGGUUAGCAAAUUUCAGAAGAUUCUACAACAUCGUCAGUGUAAGUAAAUGCUCAACUGCUAUUUCACACCAUAAUUCCUGCUAGGUAUAUUACUUAAGUCAGAAAGUCAAUGCGCGUCAGCGUAGAUGAAUUACUAGCUGGUGACUUAUCAGGUAGUACUUGAGCAAGCCUUUCGUAACAUGGGCUUUUGCAUGUUAAGUGAAUGUAGCCGCUGUCUCAGAUUUAGACGUUAAGUCUUAUUCCUUUGGCAAGCAAUAGCGUUGGGGAGGCCGUAAAGCGGUGACAAUUUAGUAUAGCGUAAUAUUUUACGGAAACAGUUAAAGAAACAAGGUCCUAUCUUAGAGAUGACAUCUCUGCAAUCAAUGAGAUUGCUAUGAAAUAGGAGGAGGCGUCAGGCGAGGCGCGAGAUUCAACUGAACGGCUUGAAGAUUGAUUAUCAAUAGACGUCAUUUGGAUGGUGCAGUUCUUAUCCGCAGCCCUGCAGUGAACAAAAAAAGGCAGUGGAAAAAAUCUGCUCGUGGUGCUGAUCUGCACAAUGGCGGCUUCAUGUAAACAAUCUUGAAAUAGCCUAUCAAUAGUAAUUUUGGUUUGCUUCAACAUGCAAGUCUAUGACAAAUAUGUAUAUUAGCUAAACUGUUAUUGAACAUAGAACUACACAGUAUUAAGACUCUUCCCUAGGUUUUCCUUUCCUUAGGUUGUAGACAAGAUGGUUGAAGCCGUCUUAACUGUUCCAGGAAUUUCCAGGGUCUUGUAUGACCGGACCGCGAAAACACCCGGGACAACGAAGUGGGAAUAAUUUGAUUUACGAACGUUGCUUAGACAAAUGAUCUCCGCACGAUCCCCUUCCCACUUUUCAUUUUUUGCCAAAUUUCAAAUUUUGCUUAAAAUACAUGAAUUCGAUUCAGAAUUCAAUAAAAAUCACGAAAACCUGGUUUAUUUUUC